GCCCCAAGCUGCAGAUGAGGAAGCAGAGACAGGAAGUGGCGUGCCAGGUCCAGCAGACGCUGCCAGGGCCCGCCCCGCCCCGAACCCCACAGGCAGCCUCUGGGCCUCCGCCUGGCACUGCCCCACAUCUCCCGGCUUGUCCCUUCAGAUGUAAGAUGAAGACCUUGGACCCCAGGAGCAGGGUGGUCCAGGCCUCAGGAAUGCCAGUUCUGGGGUGACGGGGACCUGUCACCUUCAUGAGCCCUGGCCCAUGCUAUUUCUCUCUCCCACCUUUCCAGAGGAAACCUUCCUCUGGGGUCCACAAAGCCACCAUGGGAAAAGGGGAUCAGCAGCAAGAACUGGGCAGACAUGUGAGAGGAACCUCAACUGUGACGGGCACCUAGAAGUGCACCCCGAAUCCUUGCCUCCAGGAGGGCUGGAGGGACGCGCUUCCUGUUCACCAAGGCUGCAGGAGGGCCACACACCCGUCUCUGCUUCCCGGGCAGGCCUGCGGCCUGGGAGAGAGGCACAGCAGCUCACAGGACCCCGUCACCAUCCGCGGACACGUCAGCCUGGAUCAGAUGCUCCACUAAGCCAGCCAGUCACCUGGCGGGGACAAACCAGGUCUCAGAGGACACAAGCCCAUUUCAUCGCUCUCAGGGGACCCUGAAUUCAGAGACCAUCUCCCCCGAAGGGCUGGAAUGGGUCCCUCCUCCAAGUAUCCAGCUGGCUCCACUCUCUGAUGACUGAUAAAGCUGGUUUCCCUGUUUGAGAGAAGGAAUCAACAUGCGCUCUGGGAUUCCAAGCCACACGCCUUCACGAGAUGCUGAGAAGACGGAGGAUGCAGAGCCCUUAGGAACGCAGACUGCAUGGGUUCAGAUCCUGCUCUGCCACGGAAGACGGUGCACCCUGGGGAAAGUCCCUUCGCCGCCCCGUGCCCUAGCUUCCUCUCUGUAGCAGGAGGUUUCAAGGAGUUAAUGUUUGCACACAUCCACAACAGGGCCUGGUCACGGUCAGCCCCAUGACCGCUGGCUGCUGCAAGUAUAAUCCUAUAACUGGAGAAGUUAAUGUGAAGAGUGAAAAAUGGGUUUUACUGCUAUCGUGGCCCAUCGGUUUGCAUCAUUAUUUAGGGGGCGGAUUCGAAGCAAACGGUGCAUAUGCUGCUUCUCUAGGGUUGGCACAUUUUUAGGAAUCUGCAGUCAGAAGUGAGAAGAGUGGUAUAGUGAUUUUUAGAAAAAAGAUAAGUUGCAUUGAGGGUUUAUCCAAGAACUGUGCAGAGAGGGAACUCAGAACUCUGCGCGGCAUUGGGAAGGAGGCAGAGCUGGGUGUGGCUCCCAGUUCUGCUAGUCCCCUACUUUGGGAUCUUAAUGAACAAGCAGCUUUCCAUCUCUGAACCUCGGUCUCUUCAUCUGUGAUAUGGGGACAGCAACAGCCCUAUCCCAUAGAGCUCGGGGGGAUUCAGCGAGACAGUGAGAUAAUGUCCACAAAGCUCCCUUCUAUUUCUGCCACACAAUCAGCAAUCCUAAGACCAGAGAUUUCUAGUUAGGGGUUCUUAGACACAAUUUGGUAUAAGUUGGGUAACAGCCUCUUCCUUCCUGGAGAUAGAUAGGUAGGUCUGUUUUGGGGGAGCAUUGAAUAAAAUAAUGUAUGCAGUCCACCAGAAUUAUGCCUGGCAUGCAGCUGGUGCUCAAUAAAUGUUGGUAUUCUUUGUC